GAUGAACGCUGGCGGCGUGCCUAACACAUGCAAGUCGAACGGAGUCGUUUUGGAAAUCUCUUCGGAGAUGGAAUUCUCGACUUAGUGGCGGACGGGUGAGUAACGCGUGAGCAAUCUGCCUUUAAGAGGGGGAUAACAGUCGGAAACGGCUGCUAAUACCGCAUAAAGCAUUAAAUUCGCAUGUUUUUGAUGCCAAAGGAGCAAUCCGCUUUUAGAUGAGCUCGCGUCUGAUUAGCUAGUUGGCGGGGUAACGGCCCACCAAGGCGACGAUCAGUCGCCGGACGGAGAGGUUGAACGGCCACAUUGGGACUGAGACACGGCCCAGACUCCUACGGGAGGCAGCAGUGGGGAAUAUUGCGCAAUGGGGGAAACCCUGACGCAGCAACGCCGCGUGAUUGAAGAAGGCCUUCGGGUUGUAAAGAUCUUUAAUCAGGGACGAAACAAAUGACGGUACCUGAAGAAUAAGCUCCGGCUAACUACGUG
rnacentral:rRNA from 1 species